UCACUAUCAGCCACUAUAAGUCACUUUCAUCUCAUGCAAAAGCCCAAGUGUAGUCUGAGUCGCUUUUUGAGCAGUUGCUCAAAAUGAUUGCGUUUCUCCUCUUUUGUCUGGCAGGUGUUUGUGAGGGUCUUCGAGUUCAUCAGACUCCAUCUGAUAUUAUCAAACAACCUAAUGACAAACCUGGUGACAAAAUUCAGAUUUUCUGCACCCAUAAUAAAACCGACUACUGGGUGAUGCUCUGGUACCAGCAGCCACCUGGAGACACAGCUAUGAAACUCAUUGGGUAUUUAUACUCCAAAGAUGUCACAAUGGAAGAGCCAUAUAAAAAUAAUUUCGCCAUCUCUGGAGACCUGACGGGGAAUACAGCAAAGAAGAGUUCUCUCAUAAUUAAACUUGCGGGACAAGAGCAAAAUGCCGUUUACUACUGUGCUGCAAGAGAAGCACAAUGACAAAAAGGCUCUUUGAACCUUACAAAAACUGCACAAUGUGGAAUCAUCAGUGGUUUAAAAAACAGAAAGGGAAUAAACUGAUCACAUACACCUGUUUUGUGGUUGUACUGUGGUUUGAUGUAAUCAUGUUUCCAUUGGCUAACGUAUUUUGUGACUGUUUUUUAUGUUUGUUAUAAGGAAAUCUGUCCAAAAACAUCAUUUGUUGUGAAAUCUAAUAAAAGGAGAACUUAUAUAGAUAAAUCACAUGAAGCCACUCCUCCUCUGCCUACAUCACACUGGUUUCUUCGUGCAGUGACACCCAGCUCUGC